rnacentral:rRNA from 2 species
AUACCUGCAGCUCAAGUGGUGACCGUUAUUAUUGGGCCUAAAACGUCCGUAGCCGGUUUGGUAAAUGCUUGGGUAAAUCGUGUAGCUUAACUAUACGAAUACCGGGUAGACUGCCAGACUUGAGACCGGGAGAGGUUGGAGGUACUCCUGGGGUAGAGGUGAAAUUCUGUAAUCCUGGGGGGACCACCAGUGGCGAAGGCGUCCAACCAGAACGGGUCUGACGGUGAGGGACGAAGCCCUGGGGCGCAAACCGGAUUAGAUACCCGGGUAGUCCAGGGUGUAAACGCUGCUUGCUUGAUGUUAGGUCGGCUUCGAGCCUACCUAGUGUCGGAGAGAAGUUGUUAAGCAAGCUGCCUGGGAAGCACGGUCGCAAGACUGAA